CCAUAUUGUUCCUUUAAUACACAAAUUUUAAAUUUGGCGGGGCGGAGCCUGACAGCCGAGCUAACCGGACGCAUGCAGCAUAGGCUCCCGUCCAACUUAUCGAAUUUGGGGUAAUCUCAUCAGCACCAUAGCCUGAAAACCUAUUAAAGGUGCAUUACCCACAUCUGGGAUGCACAGACGAACCGAGUGAGACCAGCCACAAGCUUGUCAUUGGCGCGAGCCCGAAAUGCUGCAAUGCGGCCUAAUCGAGCAUUAGCUGGACGUGCCGCUCUUCC